GCCGAAAUAGCUCAGUUGGGAGAGAGCGUUAGACCGAAAGAUCUAAAGGUCCUAAUGGUUCAAUCCUGGGUUUUGGCG